rnacentral:rRNA from 1 species
AACGAACGCUGGCGGCAUGCCUAACACAUGCAAGUCGAACGAGACCUUCGGGCCUAGUGGCGCACGGGUGCGUAACGCGUGGGAACCUGCCCUUAGGUUCGGAAUAACUCCCCGAAAGGGGUGCUAAUACCGGUUAAUGUCUUCGGACCAAAGAUUUAUCGCCUUUGGAUGGGCCCGCGUUGGAUUAGCUAGUUGGUAGGGUAAAAGCCUACCAAGGCGACGAUCCAUAGCUGGUCUGAGAGGAUGAUCAGCCACACUGGGACUGAGACACGGCCCAGACUCCUACGGGAGGCAGCAGUGGGGAAUAUUGGGCAAUGGGCGAAAGCCUGAUCCAGCAAUGCCGCGUGAGUGAUGAAGGCCUUAGGGUUGUAAAGCUCUUUUACCCGGGAUGAUAAUGACAGUACCGGGAGAAUAAGCUCCGGCUAACUCCGU